UACGUAGGGCGCAAGCGUUGUCCGGAAUUAUUGGGCGUAAAGAGCUCGUAGGUGGCUUGUUGCGUCUGCCGUGAAAGCCCGUGGCUUAACUACGGGUCUGCGGUGGAUACGGGCAGGCUAGAGGCUGGUAGGGGCAAGCGGAAUUCCUGGUGUAGCGGUGAAAUGCGCAGAUAUCAGGAGGAACACCGGUGGCGAAGGCGGGUCUCUGGGCCGAUACUGACGCUGAGGCGCGAAAGCGUGGGGAGCAAACAGG
rnacentral:rRNA from 1 species